UAUAAAGUAAUCAACACAAUGAAAGUGAUCGAGUAGUGAGGUGCAUGUUUUCCACACCGAAUAUAUCGAUCAAUCUAUGGUCCUAGCUAGCUGCGCUAAUAGUGACCAAGCAGGUUGGUCAGUGAAAAUUGAUGGUAGGGCUCGAAAUCUCGAAUCAUUUCCCGGUGCGUGCUAGUGAAGAGUACUAAGACCUCAAUCAUGGAGAGAUCAGAAGAUUGGGGCCAAUAAUGCUAUCGAUCUCAUAGUGGAGCAUAAUAGUAAGGGAUCGAUGGAGCUAGGGUUACGAUACAUGUACGUACAUAUACAUAUGACCUAUUAGAUGGUGCGGUGCGUAUGCAGUGGUUGGACAGCACCAGAUUUCUGACUCCAAAGGUAAAGGACUUGGUUUGGAUUGAUGCGAACAUCUCCGGCCGGGCGGGUCAUACCGGAGUGAAAUUGCAGCAUCUAUGGUGGUGUCUGGUGUGGUACUAGUUGUUCACAGGGGUGUUUUCAGGCCACCGAUCAUGGAUAUCAAGGGAUCAGUUACUGCAGUUGGAUGGUCAUUGGUUCCUCGAAGGGCGCGCAGUGGUUUGGAUCUUGCCGGAUUAUCAAUUUCUCUCUCUGCAAUAAGCAGUCAGCAGGUUUAGAGUUGGACUUGAAAAAUAUUACGGAGAAAUUGAAGGAAAUGACGCGUGCUGUGUUUUGAUUAUCUCUUCCCACCGUCUCUCCCCUCUCCCUCGUUAUUACUCCUUCCUCCACCCCAUCGACAACCGUUCCGUUCUCCUCUCAAUGGGGCCACAAAGAACCUGAAAGAAGCUCAGUCAACCGAUUCUAAAAAUCUUCUGGGGGAAAAGGGCCCUCACUGGUUCUUCAUUGGCGGAGCGGAUGCAUUAUUUGAUUUGAUUUGAUUCGAUUUAUAGUGUCACCAGGUUUGGUGACAAAAUCUGAAACAAUAAUUCCCGCUAUGUACGUUAGUUUAGUGCUAUUUGUAAUAUCGCAACUCAUCACUAUCAUUGGUUAAGACACUAAUUAAGUUAGACUCUUCGACCCUUUGACUGUAUACAUGUGGCGUGACUCGAUUCAUUUCGAUUUUUGACCACUACCAUGAAAU